ACCGGGAUGGCGAGUGGUUAAGCGCGUUGGACUUAAGUUCCAAUGGACAAAAGUCCUCGUGGGUUUAAACCCCACUCCUGGUA